AAAAAGGUAUUGACGGAAAAAAGUAGGAUUACGGAGCCUCUCAGAGAGCCGGUGGAUGGUGAAAACCGGCAGGUGAAGCAGUGUGAAGUUCUUUCCCGAACCGCAGAGCUGAAAUUUCAGUAGGUUUUGCCGGAAGCCCCCGUUAGCUGGCGUUCAAGUUGAUCCGUAUGUGCAGGGUGGUCCCUCGAAAUUUUCGAGCCUUGGAAUUGCUCUUUUUUAUUUAUACGGGUAAGCAGGGUGGUACCGCGAUCUCAUCGUCCCUAUU
rnacentral:ncRNA from 1 species